UACGUAGGUGGCGAGCGUUGUCCGGAUUACUGGGCGUAAAGAGCGCGCAGGCGGUCGUACAAGUCGCGUGUGAAAGCCCCCGGCUCAACUGGGGAGGGUCACGCGAUACUGUUCGACUCGAAGGCAGGAGAGGGUAGUGGAAUUCCCGGUGUAGUGGUGAAAUGCGUAGAUAUCGGGAGGAACACCAGUGGCGAAGGCGACUACCUGGCCUGUUUCUUGACGCUGAGGCGCGAAAGCUAGGGGAGCAAACGGG
rnacentral:rRNA from 1 species